GAAGAUGAUAAAAAAGGCUGUAACCAGAAAGAGAAACAAGAAAGCAAUAAAGGGAAAUAUUCAAAGCAAAAUUUAGCACCUAGGUUUUGCAGCACAGGAGUGGACAAUCCAGUAUCGAAAAAAGAAAAAGUUGAGAAUGAUUGCAGCUUGCCAGAGGAGAAC